rnacentral:tRNA from 1 species
AGUUCCCCUGGAAUUUCAAAAUCUUAUGAGCAUUUAUUUCCAUUUCAUUUAUUCCUUAAUAAU